rnacentral:rRNA from 1 species
GAUGAACGCUGGCGGCGUGCCUAACACAUGCAAGUCGAGCGUGAUUUAUGAGGACGAAACUUCGGUCUAGGAAUCAUAAUGAAAGCGGCGGACGGGUGAGUAACGCGUAGGCAACCUGCCCUUGACACAGGGAUAGCCUCGGGAAACCGGGAUUAAAACCUGAUGACGCCAAACAGUCACAUGGCUGUUUGGCCAAAGAGUUAGCGGUCAAGGAUGGGCCUGCGUCUGAUUAGUUAGUUGGUGGGGUAACGGCCUACCAAGACGACGAUCAGUAGCCGACCUGAGAGGGUGAUCGGCCACAUUGGAACUGAGACACGGUCCAAACUCCUACGGGAGGCAGCAGUGGGGAAUAUUGCACAAUGGGCGAAAGCCUGAUGCAGCAACGCCGCGUGAGCGAUGAAGGCCUUUGGGUCGUAAAGCUCUGUCCUUGGGGAAGAAACAAAUGACGGUACCCAAGGAGGAAGCCCCGGCUAACUACGUGCCAGCCGCCGCGGUAAGAC